CUCUCCUCCUCCCCCCCACCCCACACGCCUUCGGGUGCGAUCGGAGAGCUCGGGCCCGGUUCGGCCGCUUUCGGGCGGAUUCGGGCACUGCCCGUUCGGGCGUCUCCGUUCGCGGCCGGCGAAGGGGAAUUCGGGCGGGAUCGGAGAGGACUCGGCACAGCUCGGCUUUCUUCGCGCCCGCCUCACCCGCCUUCGGGCGGGAUCGGAAAAGACCCGAGCGAGCUCGGCAUUCUUCGACCCUCUGGGCCGGACCGCUCGGGGACUCGGCCGUGUUCGGGCGGGCUCGGCUUCCCCACCCCGUCUGUCAGGUACCGCUUCGGGCCGCGUUUCUACGGGCUCGGCCGGGCUCGGCUGCGUCCUGCCCUGGGAUUGGCCAGCCGGCAGGAAACGCGGGCCGCGCUCGCCGGGAACCACCGAUCGCCUUCGGACGAGGCCUGGGAAGACUCGGGACACUUCGGGCACCAUCGGAAGCGGUUCGGAAACGCUCGGUUCCGCCCGCGGAACACGUUCGGAAGCGCUCGGGCGAGCUCGGCACCCCGCCGGAGAGCGCUCGAGUGACCUCAGAGGACCGGGUCGUGUGUCCCCCCCCACACACACCCCGGACCCUCCUCAGCGGCCCUCGGCGGGGGGGAGCGGCGGCCGCCGAGGCCCGCUCGGGCGGGCUCGACUCCCCCCGCCCGCCAGCCGCCUCGGAUGGAGGACGCCGACUCGGCGGCGAAGCAGCUGGGCUUAGCGGAGGCGGCGGUAGUGGCGGCGGCGGCCGCAGUGGCGGCGGCGGCAGCUGCGGCGGUCGCGGAAGAACCCGAGCAACAGCAGCAGCAACAGCCGCCGCAAGCGGCAGCCUCGGAGUCGGAGGCGGAGCCCGAGGAGGAGGAGGAGGAGGCGGAGGCGGCGGCGCAGGUGACGGUGAUGGCGGCAGAUGCCGAGCACAUCGAGAUGGGAGCCGAGCCCCUGCCGAGCGCCGACGAGGCCGCCGCCGCCUUCGCAGAGGUCACCACAGUGACAGUAGCCAAUGUCGGUGCCUCCGCAGACAAUGUUUUCACUACAUCUGUGGCAAAUGCAGCUUCAAUUUCAGGACACGUGCUGUCUGGGAGAACAGCCCUCCAAAUUGGGGACAGCUUGAAUACUGAAAAAGCCACUCUCAUAGUGGUUCACACAGACGGCAGCAUUGUAGAAACCACAGGGUUGAAGGGGCCAUCAGCACCUCUCACACCAGGACCGCAAUCUCCUCCUACCCCUUUAACAUCCGUCCAAGAAAAAACUGGAACCAAAUAUAACUGGGACCCGUCUGUGUAUGAGAACGAGCUCCCGGUGAGGUGCCGGAAUAUCAGUGGCAUUCUGUAUAAAAACAGACUCGGCUCAGGAGGCCGUGGUAGGUGCAUUAAGCAAGGGGACAACUGGUACAGCCCCACUGAAUUUGAAGCCAUGGCGGGACGAGCCAGCAGCAAAGACUGGAAGAGGAGCAUCCGCUAUGCUGGGAGGCCACUGCAGUGCCUUAUUCACGAUGGGAUUUUAAAUCCUCACGCUGCCUCUUGUACUUGCGCCGCUUGCUGCGACGACAUGACUCUGAGUGGCCCUGUACGACUCUUCGUACCAUAUAAAAGGCGGAAAAAAGAAAACGAAAUGCCUGCAACCCCAGUGAAGAAGGAUUGCCCCAAAAACAUCACUCUGCUUCCUGCCACAGCUGCUACUACAUUCACCGUGACUCCUUCUGGACAGAUCACUACCUCCGGUGCUCUGACAUUUGACCGUGCAUCGACAGUGGAAGCCACAGCAAUCAUCUCGGAAAGUCCCUCCCAGGGCGAUGUUUUCACUGGAGCCACUGUCCAAGACACCAACGUCCAGCAGCCUUGCCGGGUCAAUCACCCAGAACCUCACUACCCAAGCUACCAGGACAACUGCCAGAUUUCACCUUUUCCUGAAGCUGCCCUGCCGACGUCUCAUCCCAAAAUUGUGUUGACCUCCCUCCCUGCCCUGGCGGUGCCCCCCACAACCCCCACCAAAGCCAUAUCCCCUUCGGUGGUGAAUGGGCUGGAAGUGACGGAGCAGCGGAGCUGGCUGUACUUGGAGGAGAUGGUCAAUUCAUUGCUCAACACUGCCCAGCAGCUGAAGACUCUCAUUGAACAGGCGAAACAGGCCAGCUCCUCCUUCCGCGAGGCUGCUGUCACGCAAGCAAAAAUUCAAGCUGAUGUGGAGAGGAAAGAGGCACGAGUGUGCAGCAAGAGACCUUGAAGAAAUGUGUGUGGGAAGACUUUGCUGAGAACUGAGAACCCCUAUGACAGUCCUUGCAGCGUCUUUGAUAUUCUUUGCCACGUUGUCUCUGCUAAACUCUUCUGUACGCUGCAUCCUUGAUGUGCAGUGGUUUUUGGAACGGUUGUUCAGAGCCUGUUCCCCUCACCCUCUGAUCCAAAUCCAGCUCACUUCAGCGUGCUUCUUGCUUCUUCUUGCCCCGGGAGUGGGGGUUAAAACCACUCCUGUGUAUCGAUUAAAGCGCUGACUUUACAAGGUGCAAGGAUGAGCACGUGUUUGUUUCCAGAGGAAGUCCCUUUCCAGGAACUAUUGAAUGCCCAGUCAAACAACUUGUGUGUCUUACCGUUCUUAUUGUGUAAUGGGUACCCGACAGUUUUGUAUUUUGAUAAAAACACUUGCUCAUGGUGGUAUUUUUUAAUAUACAAAUAACAAUGCUCAAGCUCACGGCUGUGUGCUAGCUUCUGGAACCAUCUGGAUGAUAUUACAAGUAGCUAUUUCUGAAUUCCUUCUAGUGAACUCCAUAUUUGGAAAAAACUCUGGGUUUCUGGGUACAGGGCUGCCAUUGGACGUAAUCACAAUAAAUGUCAAAUAAUUGGCUGUCUGCUUUUGUGUCGGUCGAAGGUGCUUUUCUGAUUUCAUGACUCUCCCCCUGAUUUGUAACGCAAGUCUCCUUCCCACCCUGAGUAUGAGUGCGGUCAGACUGCUUCUUCUGACAGUUAAGGUAUAUGAGAGGGAGAAAGAGGUGUCUUCUGACUUUGGUUGGUGUUGAUUUUUGCUGGACCAAUGUAAUACAAAGGAAGUAGGUGCUUUGUCACUACUUUCUGUUAGUUACACCGACAGAACUUCUAAGGGCUAACGAACGGGGGGGAAUCUUCUCGCCACCUCCUCCGUUUGCAUGAGCAGAGAUGGUGAGCACAGCAGUGUGGGCGCUUCCUUGUGGGAAAGCCACCAGUUUGCAGCAUUUCUGUGCAGCGGCGUGUUCCUAGGGAUGUAGGAGCGAACAACUGUGACAUCGUAUCAGAGCUGCAGAGCAAAGGCAGGACAGGUUAAAUUGGAACAGAGCUGUAGACUCAGCUCCUCCUGGAAGAGUGACUUAGUACCUAGCAGGGUUAGAGAAAUCCGUUCGGAGCAGGCUGCUCCCAACGGGAUACACAAGCUGCAUUGCCGUGACUGUAACUAGUGGGUAUCUUUAGUUUUCACAGCGGCGCAGAGCUAUUCCCCCAGCUCGGUGUCUUGAGGACGUUGAGUUCAAGCACUUUUGAUCUUGUAGCUGCCAGUAGCUCUGACCAUAUCCCUCUGUCAUCCCUGCGAAGGAGGGAUGGCCUCUGCCUUCCGGCAGAAGAGCAAGACAGAGCGCCUGGGACAGCGCUGUCUCUGCCUGCCCUUAGAGGAAGCCUGAAGUGGCCCCAAGCUUAAGCAGAGUAGAGAAGAAGUGGCAAGAACAGCAAGCAUGUAGGAAAACUUACUUGUGCACUUCCUUUGCUUCAGUCUUCCUAAAGAGCAAUAAAUUAAGCAUUAAGAGUUUUUAAUUGCAGCUUAUAUGCUUUGUUGAUUAUUCCAAAUUGUUUGCUAUAUUGCAUUUCACUUAUUAUACUUAUUAUUUAAUGAGCUUUGGAGUUCAUUAAAUACCACAAAUGAGCCAGUCUGCUCCCAUAUAGCAGCAGUUUGGCUGGCUUGGCUUUAAAUACCAGAAGUUGUUCUCCAUACUGAGCAGUGGUAAGUGCUUGUGGGACUUGCAGAGCUCUGAACUGUGAAAGGCAGGCUUUUGCUCCGAGUUUUCUUUGAGCAGGGGAGGUGUUUGUGCUGCCUGUACGCUUACGUUCGCAUCUGUGAAGUCAGAGCAGACAUCACUGUUUCAUUCUGGUCACGCUUGCUAAUGAUAUUAUCCAGGACUAUUCAAAGGAGUCUUGGGAAUACAUUAUUCCCCUCAUUUAUAUCAUUUUGAAGGUGGAAAUGCCAACAUCAGAGAGGGACUGUGGCAGGAAGGGGAUCUGCUAUGUGUAGCAAGGGAAAAACCAUAAAAAAUUAUAAGGGCAGCAUAAACUAGAAGCAUCUACAGUCACGUUUAUUCCUUAAGAUGGCAUGUCUAAUCUGAAUUUUGCAGGAGGACUGGCUCCCUAGUUUCAGUUCCAAACACAUGGCGAUACCUAGACACAGAGUCCUCAAAAGCGACAGGGGGGCUGAACUGGGAAGUGCUGAGCAUUUAGGCAUUAGGCUGUGCAGGAGUGGAGUAUAAAUGCCUGUCUUCAUAGGUGAUUAUAGAACAUACGGAAAAUUACCCUUGCCUUCCACUCUUCUCUCAUGCCUGACAUGAGGGGUUUUUCUCUCUGCUUCCCUACUGUCCGAUUACAGCUGUGUAACGCCCCGUGUCAGGGCCCAGUGACACCUUAGCUGAUCUGAAGAAACUGUAGGUCAGAUUCCAAGUGCCGGAGCUAAAGGCUUCACCAAGAGAGUUUUUCUUGCACGUAAUUUUGUAAUUUGGAAGUCUUUGCAUGCAUGCUGCUGCUGUUUUUGUCCUUUUUAAUUUCUGUAUGUUUGUUUAAGGAUCAUGGUUUGCUGGGCAGAUUUCAGGACUGAGGAUCUCUUCCAGAUUUUGUCUCCAUCUUUGCCACAAGUUAUUUUGAUGCCCCUGGGCAAAUCCUUGGCCUCCCUGGGCCUCAGAGCCGGCUCUUUAAAAUAAGGAUAACACUUCCUUCACAGGGGGCUCGCACACCAGUUUGCAAAGCGGUAGGAUCUCUGGGUACAGGGCUGUGUAAAGUAGCCUCGGCCCUGUAAGUCCUAGAAAUAAGGGCAAUUUGUAAACCUGAAAUCUACAAUUCCCACAUUUAUGAAAAUCUUCUGCAAUAAUUUCUUUUGAAACAAAACUGUUCUAGAGUCUAAGAAAGUGGUUAAAAAUACCUUCCCUGUUGUGAAUGCUGUCUGCAGUAGCUCCUGUGCCUGCUGCUGCUGAGAGCUCCUUAAUUAAAAAGCAGAGCCCUCACAGAGUUAGUUCCAGACGUGAAGCUGACGGUUUAAGAAACGUUGAUGGCCGUAAGCCUUGUGCUUUCCGUGUGUAAACACGAGGCGCAGGUGGUGCUCAGCCUGCGUACGGCUUUAUGUCGGCAGGCACCAAAUACGAGUUGCAUUUAUGUUGCCUGGAAGGGACCGACAUUCUGAAAGAAUAACAAACCAUAAGCUCCCCAGCUCGGUGUUCACAUUAACUCCUAAAAUCCGUCAUGUUUAUUGCAAUAUAUGAAAAUAUCAAAAUAUUUGUAAGCUUCUUCCAGACUGCAGCAUUUUGUGGGGGGGUCAUUAAAUGCAACUGCUCUGCCAAAACUUCAUGCGGCCGUAAGAGGAAGCUCUCCGCUGUCGUUAUGCAUUAGCUCGUGGCUGAGUGCGUCUGAUCCGUCGGUUCUAUCGGAACGUUGGCUUUACUGCAUUUUUUGGUUUAGGGAAAAACAUUUAGCAGGAGAGUGAGCGGGGCAGCAAAGGCUCCAUGUCUUUUACGAGAGAGAUUUGACAACUUGCAGGACUGGCCCGGAAGGGAUGAAGACAGGACUUCACACAGAGGUGUGAGUGCUUCGGCAGUGCUAUUUUUUUUUUGAGCAUGCACGAAGCCAUCAGAUAGACUUUAUCAGAUAAACUUUAGGAGGGGGAGAAUACAGGAACUCACCCAAUUCUGUACCAGAAGAUGUUGCUGGAAGAUAAUAAAGACAUUCGGGAAAUGUGUUAAACAGUUUUUCUGUAAAAAUUUAAAAGAAUCAGUGUCGAAAUCUGACAAGUGUUUUAACUGAAAUAGCCCUCUUGUAACGCAGUGAUGCCUUUGGAGCCCAGCCCAUUUGAAGACAAGGUGGAAGAUUAAAUCAGCUAACAGCUGGACCAUCUGCCUUCUUUUUUAGAAAGAUUAAAACAAUUCUGGUCUAGAGAGUACAAAAUUAACCCAAAGAGGGUCGGGCAUUUCAGAAAUGUAGCUCUAGUAAGCAAAUAAAGGUUUGUGCGCUCCAAAGCAGCAGUGAAGACAGUUGAGAAUUGGUGGUUAUCGGUUUUGUGAGAGAUCUGGAUGUGUCUGGCUUGACCCUCUCUCUUAAUCACACCUUUGCUUUCUCCAUGGUUUCUGUAUGGCUUGAAUUCUUCACGCCAUGGGCUGUGCAGAACCAGCGGACUCGCUGGGCGGACAGAUGGCAAGGAGAGAGAAGGGGGUUAAAUGUGUGGGUUUGGGGGCUGAGAGCAGAGGUGGGGGAGCUGCUGUGGCUCAGACAAGGGCGGAGGUGGCUGGGCUUCCUCUUGAUGUCUUUCUCAUUGGCGAUCGCCCCGGAGAACAGGGUCAGCCACGCUGGCAGAGGGUGGAGUGGAGUCUGGUGGUGGGAAGGGUUUUAACUGUGGAGCUGCAGCACUUUCACAGAACUGGAAAUCAGCAUGCUCAGCCCUGGCACUGCCUCUGCGUGGGCUGUUGCAGAGGGGAUGGUGCCGGCUGGGAUUAUGUGUGCAAAGGGUUUCAAGCUGGGUUGAAAUGCCAGCUCACCGCAUGCUUUGGUGUCUGUAUUUCCACUUUCUUCACUAAAAAGAAGUUUAGAAACAUUAUGCAGUUUUCCUAGGCCAGCACUCUUAACGUGGGUCAUUUGUCUUUCACUUAACAGUGGAAAACUCAGUUUAACCUUUCCUGAAGAAUCCAGUUUCCUGCCAGCCCAGUUCUCCGCCUGCGUGCAGGCAGGCAGAGGGCAAAGGCUGCGGCACGAAGCAUUGAGUCCCAGCUUCUCCACGGCCAGUGCUCACUGACAUUAGCGAUUCUUUCAAGAAUCAAGGUCAUUUUCUUCCUGAGACACAGCAGGAUUGACUCUUAGCCCAGAGGCCCCAUCGCAAGCUUGCCGGUACAUUCCCUGCCUUCACAAGAAUGCUUACGGCUUGGACACAAUUCUGGUUUUCAAAACAGUACUUUUGAAAUGUCCAUACACGCGUUGCACGCUUCGCCUCCGCAGUGCGGGAAGCAUCGGGGAGGCCGUGCCUUGGUCCUGUCUUGCUAAUUAGCCUGGUCUUGCCUAUUUGUCAACUAACAGCAGAACCCAGUCACACCCCUCACAGCGGGCAGCACGAGGCUUCCCUGCCACCUCCUCCAGCUCCCUAGUUUUUUUUUUGUUUGAAUUUGUGUCAUGGUAAUAUAAAGGUUUUGAAGAUGAUGAUUUCAUAGGAGGAUAAAUACUGAUGUCAGGUCACAGAAACCCUUGUUAAAUUAAGCUUUUAAUCUCCUUAUACGUUGGGUCACAGUCACUCCUGGAUAAACCCACUUUGCCUGAAGGUGGGGCUUCGGGUUUUUUCUUACUUUUUAACUGUUCCCAAUAAAUUUAAAUCAGGGUUAGCACAUAAUCAAAUCGGGAUCGGUUUUGAAUGCUUUUGGUGUAGGGCUCCCAUCUCAGGCGCGUUGACUGCUGAGCAUGGCGAGGCCGUAGGUGGAGCGGCACCCGGUUGGACUUGCACUGGUUCGGAGUCAAUCUGCAGCACGCCAGAGGUGUGCUUCAAAAGUCACCUCCAGAGGACUGCUUAAAUCAAAAACUGUUCAAAAGUACUUCUACGCUUUUAUUAAAAGGAGGAAUAAUGGUGACUAUUGAUGCUGAUUCUAAAGUCUUGAAUGUGUUACUUUUGUUUGGGUUCUUCCCCCUAACCCGUUCUGUUGGGCUGUGCCAUCCCUUUGGACUCUCUUGCCUGUUAGCGGAUUAGGAUCACCAGACUUGACCCAAAAUUUGGCCCAAGAAGAUGGCACUUGACCCCAUUACUUCAGCAUUUUCCUCGUGUUUCCUUUGCUAACUUCUUAGGUUCUCAUGCGGGGGGUGCAGUUCCCUUGUGGCAAUUGAGCCACCUGUUUUAGGAAGGGGUGCUUGACCGGAUGGAGCGGGGAGAGUGGGGUUUGAGUAGAUGCUGUACUUCACUGGCAGUUUGUCACCUCAGGCUUCUUCAUCUGUCUCCACAUCAGGUCAUAGUGUCCCUCUCUUAGAAGGGAGGAGUGAGUUUCCCCUCUGUCCUCUUGCAACUGCAGUUUUGGGCUUGCAAGAAGGAAGCUCAGUGUCAGGACCCUCCAUCCAGAGCACCCUUUUCAACCCCUUGCGUCAUACCUGGGCUGUGAAAUGACAAGUCUGGUGU